GCAGAGCACAGACCUAUUUGGGAGAGUACAGUGGAGUACUCUUCCUAUAGAGUUUCUGUACCCUGCUGAUUUGAGGAGUCAAAGAUACAGAGGGUUCCUCCGGCGACUGCAGAUGUCUCCUAUUGAGGUCUCACCAUUCCUGAACUUUGGUAAGCUGAAGGCCACACUUCGAUCUCCUCUUUAGCCUUCAAGAUUGAUUACAUAUACGGACCAGCUAUUGAGUCAUCACCUCAAUUAUUGUCAUCUAUUCAAGAGGUCAUCUAACAAACCCAGAAACUUUGUAGUUACAACUGGAAAGCAGCUUCUAUUAGCUUCUGUAUUUGAGUCAUUCCCAUUCUAGUUUUAUUUUGCAACUUUGCAUUUGUAACUUACAAUGUAUUUGCUUUUAUGGAUUUAAAAAUGCCUAAUAUUGCAAAUUGGUAUGGAUUCUUCAUAUUCUUUUUCUGAAUUAUAAUAAAAUAAGGCAAAUGAGCACUUCAGCCAUGCAAAAAUGUAAAAGUUAUAGAAACGGCAGCUAUUUGAUCUCCAUAUAUUUAUGCUUAUGUGCACAUAUAGCCGUUUAGCUAUACUGGACCUCUAGGUGUAAACUUGGAGAUAUUCAAACGAGGAAAUUAAAACCAGUCACUCUUCUAGCCUCUUUUGUGGUUUCACUCAUAUUUUUUUAAUUUUUUUUAAUUGAUGUGUAAGCACCAGAGACCUGCUCCUCCCCCCCAAAAUAGGCACAGUGAGUCAAAACGGCAAAGAACAGAUGACCAAAAAUAUUUGGAAUGAUUUUUACAAAUGUCAAGAAAAAUGACUGGUGCACAGCUACUUUGCAAAUCAAUUGUUUGCCCACCAGCUUCUAAAUGACAGCUAACCAGAAAAAGAUUACCCUUAUCCAUUUCAGAAUGAGCUGCAAGAUUAGCUUGGAAUGUAAGACUAGAAGAAAAAAGGAUUAUGUCUUCUUUAUAUCAUGAAAUGUAUCCUUUUCUAUUUGUCCUCCACAAUAUGAUGUGUUGGAAUGCAUAAGAAAUGUAAAUAAAACACCUCCUUGCCCCUU